AGUUCCCGAAAACCGCUUGGAAGCUUGGUCGCUUCGCACUUAGGUGGAUGAGUGGCCCAUUUGGGUUUAGGAAUACGUGAGUAACCUGCCCUUGACUCUGGGAUAAGCCUGGGAAACUGGGUCUAAUACUGGAUAUGACCUCCUGUCGCAUGGUGGGGGGUGGAAAGGGUUUGUACUGGUUGUGGAUGGGCUCACGGCCUAUCAGCUUGUUGGUGGGGUAAUGGCCUACCAAGGCGACGACGGGUAGCCGGCCUGAGAGGGUGACCGGCCACACUGGGACUGAGACACGGCCCAGACUCCUACGGGAGGCAGCAGUGGGGAAUAUUGCACAAUGGGCGCAAGCCUGAUGCAGCGACGCCGCGUGAGGGAUGACGGCCUUCGGGUUGUAAACCUCUUUCAGCACGGAAGAAGCGAAAGUGACGGUACGUGCAGAAGAAGCGCCGGCUAACUACGUGCCAGCAGCCGCGGUAAUACGUAGGGCGCAAGCGUUGUCCGGAAUUAUUGGGCGUAAAGAGCUCGUAGGCGGUUUGUCGCGUCUGCUGUGAAAGCCCGGGGCUUAACCCCGGGUGUGCAGUGGGUACGGGCAGACUUGAGUGCAGUAGGGGAGACUGGAACUCCCUGGUGUACCGGUGAAAUGCGCCAGAUAUCAGGAAGAACACCGAUGGCGAAGGCAGGUCUCU
rnacentral:rRNA from 1 species